GAAUGUACACAGUCUGCAGCUAAAAUUAGAAUGAUACAGAGACGAUUAGCAUGGCCCCUGCACAAGGAUGACAAACCUACGUCAGGAGUACUGUGUACAGAUUUU